rnacentral:rRNA from 1 species
AACGAACGUUGGCGGCGUGGAUUAGGCAUGCAAGUCGAACGAGAACUAGUGCUGUAGCAAUACAGUGCUGGGGAAAGUGGCGAAAGGGGCAGUAAUGCGUGGGUAACCCACCCUGAGGUUGGGCAUAGCCAGUCUAACGACUGGGUAAUUCCCGACGACGUCUUUUGGGGACAUCCCCCUGGAGACCAAAGAUUUAUCGCCUCAGGAGGGGCUCACGUGAUAUUAGCUUGUUGGUGAGGAACGGCUCACCAAGGCAAAGAUGUCUAGCAGGUGUGAGAGCACGACCUGCGCCACUGGCACUGAGACACUGGCCAGACUCCUACGGGAGGCUGCAGUCGAGGAUUCUUUGGCAAUGGGCGCAAGCCUGACCAAGCGACGCCGCGUGGGGGAUGAAU